rnacentral:rRNA from 1 species
UACAGAGGGUGCAAGCGUUGUCCGGAAUCACUGGGCGUAAAGGGCGCGUAGGUGGCCUGAUAAGUAGGGGGUGAAAUCCUGGGGCUUAACCUCAGGGCUGCCUUCUAGACUGUCCGGCUUGAGCACAGUAGAGGCAGGUGGAAUUCCCGGUGUAGCGGUGGAAUGCGUAGAUAUCUGGAGGAACACCAGUGGCGAAAGCGCGUGACUGGGCCACAACUGACGCUGAGGAACGAAAGCCGGGGGAGCGAAAGGG